GCUCUCUUCAGUAGCACAUAUACUAAAAUUGGAAUGAUACAGAGAAUAUUAGCAUAGCCCCCAUGCAAUGAUGAAGCAUUCCUGAAGCAUUAUAAUAAUCAU